AAUUCUUUAGUUUUUCUAUUGAAGCGAUGCUGACCAAGUACUGAUUUUUGUUUUCAGGUUUGUGAUAUCAUAGAUUGCUAAUUGUAGCAAUAUUCAAACACCCAAAUGAAAAUUGUCAGAAGGAACUCGAGACAAUAAAUAGGCAGUAUCCAUUUGAACCUCUGAAGUACCUAGAGAAAACGUUGAAGCUAACGUACGAGGAAGGGAUUACAAUGCUCAAGGAUUUCCGAUCCUAGCGGGAAAAGGAGGGAAAUGGCGGCGCCCUUGGGCGUCGUUAUCCUUCUUGAAGGCAUCUCGGAAGAGUUCAUCCACUCAUCUCUGGGGUGUGGGCAAGUUGGUGGUAUAGUUUCGAGUUGGCUGAUGUCGGAAUUGUUGUUUCUUUUUUGUUUCUCUUCUUUUUUCGGGGCUUUGCACAAUUUUCCCUUUUAAAUCACGUGGUUUUCGGCCUUGUUUUCCUCAUAAACAGGGCCAUUCUGUAAUUUUAUUUUCCUGUCUUAAUGAAUUGGGCAAAGCUCCUGCCUUUCUCCUAAAAAAGGCCUUUGUUGGGUAGACAAUACAUCUACAUAUAACAACUAUG